CUGUCUGAAGGGAGUGUGCGAUUGCUGAAAAGCACAGCAUACUCCUGCAUGGACUCUGCCUCACUUUUGUUCCUCAAUCCUCCGCCUGUGACCAAAACGCCAGGUAGGAAAGAUUGCUUGAUAGAGGAAUAAAUUACAAGGAGGUACAGGUAAUAUCACAGCACGGCACCAACCUGGAUGGCCCCCGCUGAAUAUCAAAUGAUCCACUCGGCCCUGUCAAAGCAAAAGAUAGGCCGCCAAAAUCUAGCAUGUCAUUUAAUGCGGUCGACAUUCACAGUAAGCUUGGAGUAUUGUUGCAGGCCACACCUGGUCAAACAAUUCCACGCCUGCUUCGACCCUCUGUUGCAAUGUCGGGGUUGGAGUGCCAUCUCUGCAUCAGUUGCCGUGUUUGAGCGCGAAGUUAUAUGCCUCAACUGAACAGCAUGCAGGGGACACACGUACCUCUGGAGGGCAUAGCCCAGGACGACAGCCACAUCAACUGUUGCCCCUUCUGGAAGAAACUCCCUGCAUUAAAUAAAAUGCAAUGUAUGAAGGUUAAGUUAGUGAUAUCUCUACAGAUUUCGAGGCAUCGAUAAUGGUUUCGCACCCUCUUGACAGGAGCUGAUGCUGCCACUUAAUGACUGAGCUGUUCAACAUGACCGCCAAAGCAGUUGCGAUGAAAGCGUAAGUAUAGCAUCUCAUAUCGACAUCACGUCGCGGAUGAGAUCCCUAUUCGCGAAUACUGUCAAUGCUGCGUAGUGCUCAGUGCUUGUAUCACACCUUUGGUGCUCAUUCGGUAUGCGCAGUACUAGUCAUGCAAUGGAACUUCAGUUAGAAUACCACACAUCUAACAAUGUGACAAGAUUGGAGAAUGGAUGCAGCAUAUGCAGGCAGUAGAGCACAGCUU
rnacentral:lncRNA from 1 species